rnacentral:rRNA from 1 species
AGUCGAACGAAAAGAGGGAAAGAGCUUGCUCUUUCCGGAGUUGAGUGGCAAACGGGUGAGUAACACGUAAACAACCUGCCUUCAGGAUGGGGACAACAGACGUAAACGACUGCUAAUACCGAAUAAGUUCCAAGGCCGCAUGGCCCAUGGAAGAAAAGGUGGCCUCUACCUGUAAGCUAUCGCCUGAAGAGGGGUUUGCGUCUGAUUAGCUGGUUGGAGGGGUAACGGCCCACCAAGGGCGACGAUCAGUAGCCGGUCUGAGAGGAUGAACGGCCACACUGGAACUGAGACACGGUCCAGACUCCUACGGGAGGCAGCAGUGGGGAAUCUUCCGCAAUGGGCGAAAGCCUGACGGAGCAACGCCGCGUGAGUGAUGACGGCCUUCGGGUUGUAAAACUCUGUGAUCCGGGACGAAAAGGCAGAGUGCGAAGAACAAACUGCAUUGACGGUACCGGAAAAGCAAGCCACGGCUAACUACGUGCCAGCAGCCGCGGUAAUACGUAGGUGGCAAGCGUUGUCCGGAAUUAUUGGGCGUAAAGCGCGCGCAGGCGGCUUCCCAAGUCCCUCUUAAAAGUGCGGGGCUUAACCCCGUGAUGGGAAGGAAACUGGGAAGCUGGAGUAUCGGAGAGGAAAGUGGAAUUCCUAGUGUAGCGGUGAAAUGCGUAGAGAUUAGGAAGAACACCGGUGGCGAAGGCGACUUUCUGGACGAAAACUGACGCUGAGGCGCGAAGCGUGGGGAGCAAAC